rnacentral:lncRNA from 1 species
UCCAUCAUAUAACAUCACAUAAUACAUCUCCCAGGUUUACAUAACACAAUAUCUCAUCUCAUGAAUACAUUUCCUUACACAAGAAUAUAGCAAGAACGGACAGAAUUGCACAAUAGAACAAUGGCACAUCAGCUACUAUCCCGAAAGUACAAUGAACUUCAUUCCUCUCUCCUAUGAGACAUGCUCAAGAUGCGACAACUUGUCAUCCUACAAGAACAUUACACUGCACAUGAAUCAAUCAAAAGGAAAUAAAUAUAAAAAAUAUUAGAAAUAUAAAUAUUUGUGUUCAUCAUGAAGAUGAUGCUGUAAGAAAUACGACAAUAUGGUUAGAUUCAACUACUACGUCUAUAUGGUUAGAUUCAACUACUACGUCUCGUAUGGCAAGCCGAAAAUUAAAUUGAGUGUACUAGAGUAUACUGAUGCAACUAGAUUUGCAUCCAUCGCCUUUAAAAACUCACAUGGAAGGAUAUGCCACCGAAGUCCAGUACCCAACAACCAAUGAUGCGGUUGACACUGUCCGUAAAAGAAAACUAAUUAAACUUGUAUAGAUAUGGACAUGUGGUGGGCUGGUGGCUCAGUCUGCCAUCCAAGUGACCAAGUUUAACCAAUAUAAGUUUAAGGUUUGUCUCCAUGUUGCCAAUAAUGCAGCUUUUAAAGAAUUGAUUCGCAUACUGCAGAAUACUUCAAUUAAAUUAAGAGUAAAACAUGUUGCUAUAGUUAAUAAGGUAAGAUGUCAGGCUGACCAGUCAACAAAUCUGAAGCAAAAACAAGGAUUCCAGCAGCAAAAAAACUAAGGCAUUCCCAUCAAUGUUUGGCCUCAAUCAACAUGCCAUUCUUUUUAAGAAGACAAAUAGAUAAGCAAUAAGCAAUACUCACUGCUAAAUUCAGUGUGUUGUGGAUUUCGAUUGACAAGCAGAUAAGCAAUACUGCUAUUGAGUGUGUUAUUCCUGCUUCAAGCAAUCUUCCAGUCCGUUUCAACAUGCCUUGCAGAUGACU